AGGUCUUCACAUGAAAAUCUGCAUAUGUAAAUAUGUAUUUAUCUAAAGAAUAAAUACAUUUAUGAGCCAUAGUGCACGGUGAUUAUGAGUUGUGAAGCACACACACACACAUUUUUUACCAACAAUGUGUGGGAUCAUACAGUCGAAUCCCCCCGGGGCCCUUUAUUGACAGCACUGAGACAGUGAGAGGAGCUUCAGCUGUUUGUUUGUUCUGAUGAUCUUGUGCUUGUUGGACAGGAAUCAGUCGGGAUGAUUAAAGAGCUGCUGCUUCAAUUCUUCUGAGCUGGAAGUGAGAGAACAAGGUCUCACUUCCCCCUGCAGCGGCUCCUCCUCGCUGCCUGAAAGCUCUUUACGGUUUGAGUUGGCACAUUGACAUGAAGUGAAACCAAACAGGCUGCAGUCUGAUGAUUCUGUACAGCUGAACCUGGAGCUGUUAACAUCAAGACCGCUGUCUGCUAGAGCACCAUCUUCUUUCACUUCCGUCUCUCUCAGUGAUCAUGACGGCAGUCGGCGCAGAAGUCGGCGUGUCGUGGUUCCUGACAUCAGGAGUCGUUGGUUUCCUCAUCGUCCUCCUCCUCUCCAUCUUCCUCACAGCUCUCUGCAGCGAGUGCAGCAGGUCAGCUGGUUCUGUGUUCUAUAUUUCUAUUUCUGUCUACGAAUGCAUGUUCUGAUCCAAACCAACAAUCCGAAGCCGAAAAUAUCUUCUUCCUGUGUGCCAUAGAGCUCUAUUACAAACACAUCAAUGCUGUUGCAUUGGGUGACAUGUUCCUUCAUUAUCAUAAACAUACACACUAUAGUUUAUUUUGACGCGUGAGACUCGUCACACGGCAGCUAUUUGGCUAUUUACACCUGAUUUAGCAAUAGCUAACGAACCAAAAAGCCUUCUGACACAAAGGAGCACUAAAAGGUAGGUAGAGGAGGAUUUAGGAGUAGUAGUAGAAUGUCAAAGUAUAUUAAAGGAACAGUGUGUGACAUUUAUGGGGAUUAAUUGAUAGCAAUGGAAUAUAAUAUUCAUAACUGUGUUUUAAUCGGUGUAUAAUCACCUGCAACUAAGAAUCGUAGUGUUCCCAUUAGCUUAGGGAAAGCCAUUUAUAUCCACGUAGGGAGAAGGUUGUCUUCCACGGAGUCCGCCAU